AUUGAACGCUGGCGGCAUGCCUUACACAUGCAAGUCGGACGGCAGCACAGAGAAGCUUGCUUCUUGGGUGGCGAGUGGCGAACGGGUGAGUAAUAUAUCGGAACGUACCGAGUAAUGGGGGAUAACUAAUCGAAAGAUUAGCUAAUACCGCAUAUUCUCUGAGGAGGAAAGCAGGGGACCUUCGGGCCUUGCGUUAUUCGAGCGGCCGAUAUCUGAUUAGCUAGUUGGUGGGGUAAAGGCCUACCAAGGCGACGAUCAGUAGCGGGUCUGAGAGGAUGAUCCGCCACACUGGGACUGAGACACGGCCCAGACUCCUACGGGAGGCAGCAGUGGGGAAUUUUGGACAAUGGGCGCAAGCCUGAUCCAGCCAUGCCGCGUGUCUGAAGAAGGCCUUCGGGUUGUAAAGGACUUUUGUCAGGGAAGAAAAGGCUGUUGCUAAUAUCGACAGCUGAUGACGGACCUGAAGAAUAAGCGCCG
rnacentral:rRNA from 1 species